CGAGCAGGCACACUUUAAGUUCCCUCAGCGCCAUGGCCCGGGAACCAGGGGUGCGGGCCCGCCGCCGCCCUAAGUUGAGGAGGGAGAGGCCCGGCCCAGCACCAGCAUCCCCCGGCGCCGCCGCCUCACCGCCAAGUCCCGGCCGAGCACUCCGGGCGGCCGUGCGUCCGCCGCCGCCCUCCGGUCCGGCCGACCCCGUCACUUGUCCGGCGGAGUCACCUCAACAGCCGGGACACCGCCUUGGCCUCCCGGGCGCUACCGCCGCCGCCAUCUUGGGACGCCAGCUGGGUCACCUGACCUCCCCGCCCACUUCGGCAGCCACCUUCUCCGCGAGGGCGGGGCGGCCGGCUCGCAGCUCACAGGCGGGUGGGCGGAGCACCAAUGGGCGGAGCCUCAGCGUCGCCCCACCCUCCAGCUCCGCCUCAGCCCCAUCUUCUCUAAGGAGUGGGCGGGGCGGGAUGGGGCGUAAUCUUGAAGCUACCACGCCUCUAGCUCCACCUUCCACCCGUCCCAAGAUGGCGGCGGGUGAGUGAGGCCAGGCUGGUGGGCGGAGCGCGAGGGAUGGGCGUGGCCUCUGGGCUCGCCCCCGCCUCCAGCCCCGCCCUCUGGCACAUCCUAAGAUGGCGGGUGAGUGGGGUCUAGGCUCAGGGGUCUCCGACGGCUCCCCUUCCCCUCCCCGAGAGCCCCCCUCACCCCACCUCCGCACGAGCCCGGGACUCGCCGCCCGCGCAGCCCCGUGUAGCUCCUUGUGUGUCUUUUGAUUUUUUUUCAGAGAUCCCUCUGUACUUUGUGGACUUGCAGGAUGACUUAGAGGACUAGCCCACUGUGCCGACUGAGCUGAUGGGGCAGAUCCCUCCUCCCAGUACAUCCUGCCUGGUGGAGCUCGGUACCUUGAGGAUCCAGACAACCAGGUCAGAAAACCCAGCCAGGAAGCGCUACUGGCCCUUCUGGAGCAAGGUCUCAUUUCCCAGUGUGACAUUGAAGGCUAAGUAUGUCCUGCUCUGCUGGAGCGGUCUGCUCCCAGCCGUGAUGAUGAAUGCAGGAAGGAGGCCAUGAGCAUACCAACAUUUUUUGAGCUCUGCUCAGAUAACAUGAAGAAAGCAUGUUCAGAGUGCUUCACAGCUGUGUCCCACACUUCCCCCUGUGGUCUGCAGAACCCAGCUCUCAACUGUGUUCAUCAAACUCCUCAGUGAUCCCCAUCGAUAGGCCCAGCAGCUGUAGUGCCGCCUUAGCCGAGUGAGCUCUAGCCAGGAUGCUUGGCACCGCCAGCCCCCGUCACCUCAAGCAUCCACCUAGAAUCCAGCAACGAUCUCAUCUCCAGCUUUAGUAAUAGUGACCUUCUGGGCAAGAUGGAAGAUUAGAGCUUUAAUUAUGUAAAGAAGCAAAAAGUAAUUGCAAUAACGAUUUGGAAACAUGACUGCCGGGUUAUAAAUAAUGAAGCUACCACGUCUCCUCAGUUCAGAUAAAAUAUUCAUUCAGGGUGGUGAUUAAAUAACCUGUAAAGAAAAUUGUCUCUUUCUCCUUGAUUAAUGAAGUUCUUCAGAGAAUUUACACAGGAAAAAAGGUGAAGUCUUCCAGAUGUGCGUUUGUGACACAGGACAUUCUGAUUAUACCAAGGCCUGUCUCUGUGUGCUGUCUUGACCCUCAGUUCCUUUCUAGCAUGGUGGUUGAUCUUGUGUUUGUCAUGCCUACCCUCUGAGGAUGGCAGGUACAUACGACCAAUGUGAGGUGGGUCUUACACAUCCCUUUGCCAUCAGGGCUGCAUAGGAGGGUGAGGUCGGACAGUGUGGGCAGUUGACACCUUGGAGUCCAGAUUGUCUACACACACACACACACACACACACACACAGUGCUUGUGCAGACACAGUCCUGGGGACCAGCACACAGUCAGCUCUUCCCCAUUCUUAAGCUUUUGUUCCAAAGUCUGCCCCCUGCUGGAACACUCAUAAAUAUGCAGCGGAGGCUGGCCGAGCUUCCUGGGGUGGUUUUCAGUGCGGUCCGCUUUCUGCCAGGGGGCAGAUUGGGGCCGGCUAAAGCUAUGGGUUUGCAGUCUUCUGACAGGAUGCAGGUGCUCAUUCGGGAAAGAGUGGGGCUGAGGUGCAGGUGCUGCUCACGUCCCUUCCUGCGAGCGCCAUGGUAGUGAGAGCUUGCUUCUUCCCUCUCCCCUGGCUUCAGAGCACCUGUG
rnacentral:lncRNA from 1 species